rnacentral:misc_RNA from 1 species
UGAAACGAGAACGAUAUUAACCAUUGGAUCUCGGUGUCUUUACAAUUCAACGAACACUGCAUUCUGCGACUGUCUAGUAAGAAGAUGUCGAAGUUUUUACUAUCUGCUUUCUCCUGUUUGGACUUCGCUACGGGAGUAAUUAGCAUCAUUGUUCAGUCGGUAAUCAUAGCCAAUCACGAUGACUGUGCUUACUCGAAGAUGGGAGUCGGCAUCUGGAAUGGACUAUUACUCAUAAUGACCGGCAUAUCACUUCUGGUGACCGCUACUCGUCCAAAGGGGAAAACCGGAGACUGGACGCUUGUUGUUUGCGCUAUGACUCUGAUGGCCUCACUGGUGCAGGUCGGAGUCGCUUCUGGAGUUAUUUACCAAUUAUACGGCUUGCAGUAUUUUGAACACGGGCCAUUUACCAAGCCGUUGAAUGGCAUUCUGGACAUAUUCAAACCCGACAACAUACCCGAUCAGAAACAGGUGUUAACGUCCGAUUUCCCCGACUCAGUUCUCGGAUUUGUCAACAAGGUUGGCGGGAACUUGGUUUCAAAUACUGCCAGGUAUGGUACAGUACGAGCAUGCUACGGCCUCUUCUCAAUCGACGACUAUUACGGUUCCCAACGGAAGACGUUGGAGGUUGUAUUGCUGGGCUGCGGUCUUAUCGCAAUCGUGGUUAAAAUAGCCUCAUUCCUAUCAUUACGGGUCAAACGACUUGCCGUAUCUGCCUCGAUCCAGUACACACAACAAACCGCGACGCAUUAAAAUUCAUCGUUAUGUAAAAUUUCCGAAAAUGUCUUACUUUUCUUACGCCAACCUUGAGAAACUUAUCGUUUCAAGUCAACAGAAAGUUUCAAUUUCUUUUUUUGUUCAAAUAAAUGACACCAUUUCUUUUUUGUUCCUACAAUGUAACGAAUUAAUAUACAGCAAAAUGUCUAUCAUUUCAUACAUUUUUCAAAACGAAAUCAAUAGCUAUCUUAAUGUAAAUGUCGUCAUAGUUCAAAUUUCUAUACGCUGCUCGAUCGAUACGAGCCGAAUAGCCAGGCUGGUCAAGUCAAGUCACAAUUGUACGGCUUCUUGUCCUGACGACGCCACCACCAGGCAGGGUGGAAAAAGAAACAAACACACAUGAUGUCGCAAGUCAUGGGAGCACUGAUGAGGGAAAAGGGGGGAAAGUCACAGUCCGAGCGUAAUCUUCUUCUCCUAUCGCCGCGUCACCGGUCAGUAUACACACCAAACAGUGCAGGGCAAGUGAUAUAGACUGAAACUUAAGAUCAGAGCCGUUGGAUGCCUUUAGUCUGGUUUUGUGUAUCAACACCACAGGAUAUUCUCAAACAGUUUUUCGUUCGUUAUGAGCAGUGAAUGAACGAUUGUCGUGAGCGUGACCAGCAGACAUCAAGUGCCAAGUGAAAAACAUCCAUUUUCUUUCCCCGACGUCAAACGUGAAUUCUCAAGGUCUGCGUGACUGGCGAAUGGAAACGCCACUGACGGUCGAAAAUGGAGCCGCUGCCGCGGGAAAUUCAAAUCUUCUGCCCUUUGAUUCAAACAGGUCGGAUGGCACGGCCAGCAGUUCAUCGCACAUCACUGUCUUCCCCGUUCAGACACUGCGACGUCUUCUACUCAUUUCGGUUUCAGUCGUAUUGAGUGAAAUUAUCCAGUUCAUUUGCCAAGUUUGUCUAAUCAUGCAAUCGAGACGGCUGUCAGUUUCAGCCAUCAGCGCUGUUCUCGUCAUUUGGACUUUGCUUGCUUUAACCCUGACUGCCCAAUGGGUCAUCUUGUUGAGCAGUAACCGAGUGGCAAUAGUAAAAAGAGGGAAAAUGCUGAUUUGCGGAUGUCAAGGACUUGCUGUCCUCAGCUUAUUAGCUUCGAUCGCCCUUCUCUCCGUCCAAUACGAAGUGAACAAAUGGAAAGAGGAUAAUAUCAAAAUACUUGUUGGCGUAAUAGUCGGUACCAACUGUUUAAAUAUCCUUACACUCUGCCUCAUUUUUGUGUUCAUCGUACGAGGCCAAAAAAAUGUCCAUCAGGUCAUAGGAUCUUGGCUUUGGUUAGCCAUUCAGCAACACAUCCAGCGACAGCAGUUGUUGUUAGAGGAAGGCGGAGACAUUUCAUUAAAAGAACAUUUGCAAGCAGCCUACGACGCAGAGGAACUCAACUUUUCAGCAGAAGCGGCUUGAUCCUCAAAAUUCCUCCCCAUUUUUUGUAAUUUAAUCAAUUGAUUGCAUCGCAGAGAAAUUGUUAACAAGUCAAACAUAUAAUUGUAAAUAAUACACCGAGAAUAUACCUGUGGAAUGUCAAAUGUUACCUAUCUCAAGCCCAAAUCCGAAAACAGUCCCACACUGAUCUAGCUCUAUCCUGUAUAGGCCUGCAUGUUGUAAAAGUUCCACUCUAUUCAGAUACGAGCUCUGACGCCUAUGUACAGUAUGUGGCAUGUUAUCGAACGUGGGAGAUCUUAUCACACAGUCAAAACCGAUGUGUUGGGUUAUGGGCUAAAUUCAUUACAGGUACCGAGUUAUUCAUGACUGGCCAGGUGAGUUGACUCAUGCCAUCGUCACCGUCCAAGCCAAAAUGUGGGAGAGUUCCGACUGGAUGCUAAUUCAGUCCCAACGUCGAGUUUUACCGGGCACCUCGGUAAAACUUGGAUUGGGACUAACCGCUUUGAACGCCGUUCUCUGGCUGGUCGCCAUGAUUUUACAGGCCUUCCUGCUUAAUAAUAUCGAUUACUACAUUGCGCCGUCGUCCUACAUACUCGUCGGUAUCUGCCUGGGCUGGUCCACCACGAUUUUGUUUAUUACGGCUGGCUCGUUAUACGGUUUAAUACGCAAUACAGAAAAUGACGUGAAAUCCUACCUGACAUUGACGACUAGCACGGCGGUUUUCUCGCUCUUUAUCUUCCUCUCCUUCUUAAUCACGCUAUGUCUCGAUACAGCAACCGAAUCCUGGCUAACACCGGGUGGUUUCUCAAUUUUCACCGGCCUCUACGUUUUUGGCGAGAGUUGCAUUAUUGUUUGGUAUUUCUCUAGUCAGUGGAGAGCUUUCAAAAAAGAAAUGGAAGAAGAGCGAACGGAUCGGAUCCAACAACGAGUGCGAGAACAACAACAACAUCACUUGGCCGUUUUGACGAAUUCCGUCCAGCAGGCGCCACCUAACGAAUAUCAGGUGGAACAGGUGAUGGAGACAUUCGAGAGCGAGGAGGUGGAGCGAAAGAGAAACGAAGUUGAAGAAACAAGCGAUUCAGGCAGCGACCGCUUGUCUUAUUAUCCGCCCGUGUUUGUUUGAAAGUAUUGCCCAAUACAAAAACUUUUUUUUUUCUUCAAUCCGCUUAUCGUCUUAUCAGUGAGCUCAUCAUGUCACCUGCAUUAUCUUGAUUGAAAAAUCUAAAGCGAAAAAAACCCUUAGAACCAGCAACCAAAGGAAAAGCGACAAAAAGUCACGGACUAAAGUCAACCGGAUAGGAGUUGGAACACUGUCAAACUCGCUUCGGGAUGAGUUAGCAGUGCGUCGUGAUUGUAACCUGCCCGAUUCAGGAGCAGGUUGUCAUCAGAGAAAUGACUGCCGAUCUCCAUCAAUCCACUAUUCAGCAAAGCAGAGAUUCAGCUCGUCUGGUUGUCUUUCGACCGCGACACAAAGUUAUGGUCAGUGUCUUUUCCUAUUCACUCAUCUUCCUGUUCAUCCUAGGCGUCGGAUUUCAGGUAAAAUAAUUUCACGGUGAUUUUUUAUCGUCCCGUCAUCUGAUUGCAUAAGUUACCACACCCACAUACAAAACAGGUCUGCGCAAUUUUAGUGAAUGCGAACUACAGCCAAACCGGAGCCGGGAUAUGGUGCGGUAUCCUUUACGUCGCUACAGGCGUCAUGGGUCUGCUAGCCGUCCGUAGAGAGGAUAAGCCCAUGUAAGGACAAUUGCAUUGCUAUGCAUGGCUGUCGGGUCCGUUUUCACUUCCAUCGCUCUCAUACUGUUAGCAUUACUUUCUCUCACUAGUACUACAUAUCAAGGAGCAUUUCCUUCGUUAUGCACUGCAUCAAAUAUUAUUCUAACUGUGGUGGGAUUCAUUGGAUUUUUCAUCUCAAUCGUCCUAUUGACAAUUGCUGCCAUCACUUCGUCAUCUAGUAAACGGUCCCAGAGCGCUUCCACCGAAAUGGGAGUAGUCAAGCAGGAUAUCAAAGAGGAUUUCAAGCAGGAUUCGAUAGAUACUAUUAGUUUGCAUCAAGAGUCCAUCGCUCCAUCCGAAGUGGAGGCAACUAUUUCUCCUCCAGCAGCUGCUGAAUCCAACGGUUCAACUGGCUCGGACGGUAUCUAUGAGUCGUUAAAAUCCCAACAGGGCAGUGUGGCUGAAAGUGCCAUUUUAGACUCGUCUACGAUCAUAGCUCAGAUUAUGGAACCUAUCUACGCCAUUCCGAUGAAGAAGAAAACGAAUUCCAGCACGACACUGGCAUCCGCUGGCGAUUUCGACAUAGAAGUCGAUAAUCGCCGCGAUAGCGAAGUCAGCGAAAACAAAGUGGCCCCAACUAAGUGGUUCCAUAGGGAAGCAGCGGACGAGCCUGUAAGUUCAGACGUCGAUGAUGACCAACAUUCAAGAAAUAUUGAACUGCCCAAAGAGGACGUUGUUGUUCACGCUCCGCCAAACUGAUACUCGCACCAAAGAAUUUCGAAAAGCAAUAUUGUUAACCCUCCGGUGAAUUGUUAAUAAUAGACCAACUAAUUAUUUUUGAAAUAAGAACGAUUGAGAAAUAGAAUAAAUAAAUAAA